rnacentral:lncRNA from 1 species
GUGAUAAAAAAGCUUAAAGUGACAUGCAUUGACAGAUCAGUGAUUAGUAAUUUCAUCUGGGAAGCAAAACAAAUUUCUGUGGGCUUUGAAAGAAUUAAGUUCCAACAUAUAAAAAGACAGGGAAAUCGAGUAGCCCACUUGUUGGCCAAUGAAGGAUUUCGGCGAAAACGGGAUGUUUGGUGGAUUAAGAAAGCUCCGAUGGUGGUUCAGGGAGGUUACGGAGAAAAAGAGGUAGGACAUCCAUCAUCCCAGUUGAGUGUCACGAAACAAAUGUGUUGAGAAGCUAGAAGGUCUUAUUCAUUCUCUAGUAAAUGAGUGAUUGUCUCAGAUUUGAUCUAGUUAGUCGUUUUAAUUUGUAAUCUAAGAUUUCGUACUGGCAUGGGAAGAUCCCUAAGGUAAAAAAGAGGAAAAUAUUUG